UCGGACUUCGGAAAAUACAGCUAUAUAUAUAUCUGACAGGUAAGUUUCAUGAACAAUGUAACCUUAUUACUUGAUAUCACAUAUGACAAUGUUGACUUACUUGUUGCAUGGCAUUUGUAUUUUCUAUUUCAUUUCUAAUUCACCAAACCUGAAAAAGUAUACUUUUCCAAAUGUUAUAAUGGCUGAUCCUCUAACUCAUCUACAUUUUCUGGCUUGUGAUGCAUCCAUGUGCAUCUAAAAUCUCUGAAGAUUGUAGCAGUAAAGGAAUAUUUGUUUUCCAAUAGUUUUAUAACUGAUUGUUAGAACAACAAAAUUAGAAUCUUUGCAAAAAAGUUUUGACUGUUUAGUAGCUUAUAAGCACUGCUGUUAGUCUACAGAACUGUUCUUAUUAAUGCAAUCCACUUACAUACCCCCCCUUUAUUCACUGUUGAUAUAUAUUGUAUAUCCAAAAGUAUUACGCAAUGUAUUAUAAAAAUAUAAUUUUUAUUGAUGUGAAAUUUUUUACAUUUCGUAAACAUUAUGAAGUGCUCAGAAGAAAAAUUACAAUGGAAUGAAACUACAAUCUGUUAGCUAAACAAAUGUUCCAACAAAGAUUGAUUAUGCAAUGACUACCAUAAGUAAUGCACUGGAUAUUUUUUUAUUUCUUACAAUCUACAGGUAAGUCACACUGACCUUUUCUACAGGUAAGUCACACUGACCUUUGCAACAAGAAGUAUUUAGUAAGGUUCUAUUUUUUUUCAUUUUUUAUUUUUUUUAUUUAGUACUCCAAUAGUAUAUCACAUAAAUAAGUCCAUCACUAUGGAGCAGUCAUCUCCUUUGACUUAACCAUUAAUUGCCUAAUGACCACAAGAGUAAUACAUACAUCUGUUUAUUUUACAAAUAAAUAGCUUUCAUGUACUUAUCCAGGUAUCCAGUGAUAAAGCUGCCUUGUAAAACUGACAGACAAAAGAAGUCUAUGAGUAAUUACAGCAAUCAAGGAAAUUCUGAGCUUUUAAGUUGGAGAGAAUGAUUAACUGAUAAAACAUGGGAUGACUGAACUUUUUUCCAUAUUAAUUUAGAAUGUGUUACACUAAAUAUAAUUUAAUAAACAUUCCAGGUUUAACAAAUAUUGCAAACUGUAUACUAGUAUACAGUUGACCACCAAAUCUAAAUAAAGAGCACAAAGACAGGAAAUAGAAUUGGCAAUGCCUGUGGGGCUCACAUGGUCAUAGACAUUACCAAAUGCAAUUGCCAAGCUUAUACACAAGUACUUGGAAAUUCCAUUUUAUCUAUAUACAGACAGUCCCCGGUUAUCGGUGGGUUUCCAUUCCAAUGGUGUGACGAUAACCGAUAAUUGGCAGUUUUAGGUGAUCAGUGCUUCCAUUAGGGGGGACUGCCUGUACAUGAAUGACAAUUUCCUUAGGUAUACACUGUAAAAUUCUCAUCACAAUACUGUGUACCGUAUUAUCUUUACAGGCAGAAUUUUUUAUCCACAUUGGUAAUACUAUAUUUGUGUAGACUGCAAUCAGUGUUUAUACUAACUAAAGUAAUGUAUUCUGUAAAUUAAUGUGUAAUUUACUGUAUUUGCUAUCUGACCAGUUCCUGCAAUGUGAAAAUCUAUAAAGUUUUCGUAGUGACUGACAAAGCAAGAACAUACAUAUUACAUUAAAUGCUUUUGUAAAAAUUGUGAUCCUUUAUAUUUGAUUUGUAAAUAUAUGUUUAUACAUCAUA